CCUUCCGCAAGAUUAGAACUCCUCACAAGGGUCGUCACAGACGAUGACGUUGAUAGGGUGCAGGUGUAAAGACGGCGACGUCAAAGCCGAGCACUACUAAUUGCCCGAAACUUUCAUU
rnacentral:rRNA from 1 species